AUUUAUGAUGCAUUAGAUAAACCCAAGUACUACACGUGAAAUCGUUAACUAUGAUAAGAAAAUAAUGAGUCCCAAUCAAGGAUGCCUGUGCAAAAUGAUCCCAAAUAUCAUAGUGAAUUAAUUAAAAUGGCAUAGUGGUACUUUGAGUACCAGAUGUAAAAAGAAGUUUAGUCUGCAUAGAAAAAUGAUAUACAUCACAGUUUGAAAUAGG
rnacentral:lncRNA from 1 species